rnacentral:lncRNA from 1 species
UCAUGCCAAGACGGGUAAUCUCUUUCCUUAAUUAUUUUUCGAGCACAGUAGGGACAAUGUGUCAAAUAAAGUGUAGGGGUAACAUAGAAUUUUCAAAUUUUUAUUUAAUAUUUUCAGUAUUUUUAAAUGUUUGCUUAUUAUUUUUUCGUUAAAUUUUUUUAUUGUGUGUUUUGUUUGUGCUCGAACUUGUAGAAAUACAAGUGAUUGGUUAGGAGCAUGUAA